UACGAAGGGGGCUAGCGUUGCUCGGAAUCACUGGGCGUAAAGGGUGCGUAGGCGGGUUUUUAAGUCAGGGGUGAAAUCCUGGAGCUCAACUCCAGAACUGCCUUUGAUACUGAAGAUCUUGAGUCGGGAGAGGUGAGUGGAACUGCGAGUGUAGAGGUGAAAUUCGUAGAUAUUAGGAAGAACACCCGUGGCGAAGGCGGCUCUCUGGGACGGUACUGACGCUGAGACGCGAAAAGCGUGGGGAGCGAACAGG
rnacentral:rRNA from 1 species